GAGCUGUCGAAGGACACCAGAGACAAAAUUUUAGACCUGCACCAGGCUGGGAAGACUGAAUCUGCAAAAGGUUGAAGAUGACGAUGCUGUUGACGAUGCUCAGUCUCACUCCCCACUCCGUCUCGGGGCCGUAUGAAUAAUGGAGAGGAUGGAGUGGCGAGUGAGGUGCCACGGGGGAUGGUUUCACACAAAGCUCACUGCCUGGAGCCAUCACAUCAGAGGCCAAGAGCUCCCAAGACGCGUAGCGUUCCCCCAUUGGCUCCCUCGUCGCGGGUCAGAGGUGAGCAGUGAGCAAGUAGCUCUGCUUCUUUCUCUGUGAUGGACCGCUGGGAAAUCAGUAGCUGUGUCCAGACGUGGGUGGAGGACAUUUGUAAGAAUCAGAGAGGUUAAAAUUUGCACUGUGUGAUCAUGCUAAAUAGCUCGUUCAAGCGAUGCACAUCAGAGGCUUUUGACCCUACGUCUACCUCGCGCGGAUGUUGCUCUGCAACUACAUCGUGGUCUUUGUCCUUUUGUUCUGCUGCUGCCAAAAAAAUGGGUUUACACCGGCACAAAAAACGCAGA